rnacentral:lncRNA from 10 species
GUACAAGUAAUUGCUUUCUGCUUAGAGAUGUCUAGAUGUUGAUCAUGCCUACUAGUCAACAGAGGCUAGGUUAUUCUACAGCAACAAGUAUCUCCAUAUUUUGGAACAACACAACUUAUUGAUCUACCUCCAUUCAGCGAGAAUAAAAUGCUCUUUCUCUGUUUUGUCCACAUUCUGGUACCCUGUCUAACAGAUCAGCUACUGUCUGCGAUAUUGCCACUGCCAUUGUAGAAGUAAAGGAGAGAAGACUGCAGAAUCUAAAAUGAGCAAUCAAACAUCUCACUUCCACUGACAGGCUUUCGAACAGAACUAGACACUUUACUCCACCUGACAAAAUAUCAAGAAGAACAAUCCCACCAUGAGCCCAGGAGGAGAGAGAACACUAAGAACAUGAGGAAAAGCACAGAAGGUCCCAGCAUCAUGCUGUGUCCUCACAGAUUCUGAGAAAAAUCCCUUAUACUUCUUCAUAUUUCUAUCCUGUAGAAGAAUGUGGUACUCCAUAAGUUGUAUUUGUUGAUGAAUGGAUGGAUCAUAUUUGCCAAGCUAACUAACUAAUUUAAAAUAUCUGGAUAAGAUGGUUUUCUCUUGCACAGUUGUCUUCUGAUUCCAGCUGCCUUCAAAAUGAGUUCUAUUUGGAAAUAUAGUGCCAUUAUAGGAAAUAUCAAUAUGAAUUCAGAAUAUCAUAAAACUAAAAAUUGAGUUCUUUUUUUUGAGAUAGGGUCUUGCUCUGUCACUCAGGGUGUGCAGUCAGGGGUGUGAUCAUGGCUCACUGUAGCCUUGACUGCCUUGGUUCAAGUGAUGCAUCCUCUCACCUCAGCCUCCUGUGUAGCCAGGAUCACAGGCAUGUGCCACCAUGCCAAGCUAAUUUUGUUUUUUAGUUUUUGUAAGGAUGGGGUCUCCCUAUCCUUGGUGGUCUUGAACUCCUGGGCUCAAAGGAUCCUCCUUCUUCAGCUUCCCAAAAUGCCGGGAUUCCAGGCGUGAACAACCAUGCCCGGCCCAAACUGAAUUCUUAUAGCCAAGAAAAAGCAAACAGGACACAACAUGGAGAAGUGUCUUUAAGUGAAUGCUUCCAAGUAAAUGCAAGGACAGCCUUUAACCAUUCAGAAGUUCCUAAUAAGAAAACUGCAGCAUCACCAGAACGGAGCACUUCAGAGAGUGGGUUACUUGGCUGAUAGAAAUUUCACCAUUCUCCACAGGAACUCCACACCUCCACUUGCUGAAUUGUGUGCCAAAACCUUCACUAGCUAGUGUUUUUCCAGUGAGACAUAUCAGUUCUUUUUCUAUCUCUACAGCCCAUUCUAUCACAUGAACUAACUGAUUACGAGGUGAGUUGAAAUCAGACAGGCACCUUUCCCUAAGAACUAAUUCAUGUCAAAUUCUGGGUUUUAAUUGGCCAAUAAUUUCCUAGUUAAGGUGAUAGCUAUUAAAUAAAAGUGACACUUUUAAGUUUAAGGUGUUAUCUAUUUUAGAAAAAGAAAACACCUAUUCUCAAAUGGAGAUGUUAAGACUUAAAAGGAAUAGAAGUAUAAUAUGAAAAUGAUAAACAGAGAGGUAGGCAGAUUUAUGUGCACUUUCCUCCUGCAUCAUACCACAUGACUGUCAUCUUUCCCAUAUCUGGGUAACAUCUGGCCUUUCAUUUUUCUUGCAUAAUAUGUUUUGAGCACCUCACAGACUGAUCACAUAGUAAGAUAAAGUUUAAAAUGCUUUUUAUCUUAAUAUUUUCUGUUUGGCAAUAAAUGGUCAGACUAGUUGACAGCUGAAAAUAUUUUUGACUAUACAAAUUGGAUAUUGACAGUUUCUUAUUCUGUGGUCCUAACUGAAGAAAGAAAAUAAGUAUCUCCCUCUCUCCUUUUCUUCUUUCUUUUCUUCCUUAUUUUCCUUCUUCUUUUUUCAUUUCUUUCCUUCCUUCCUCCCUGCUUCCCACCCGUCUCCCUCCCUCUCUCCCCCUUCCUCCCUCCCUCUCUCUCUUUCUCUCUUUUUCUUUCUCUUUCUUUCUUUCUUUCUUUCUUUCUUUCUUUCUUUCUUUCUUUCUUUCUUCCUUCCUUUCUUUCUUCCUUUCUUUCUUUUUCUCUCUCUCUUUCUUUCUUUCUUUCUUCCUUUCUUCCUUUCUUUCUUUUUCUUUCUUUCUCUCUCUCUUUCUUUCUUUCUUUCUUUCUUUCUUUCUUUCUUUCUUUCUUUCUUUCUUUCUUUCUCUUUCUUUCUUUCUCUUUCUUUCUUUCUUCCUUUCUUCCUUUCUUCCUUCCUCCCUGCCUUCCUGCCUUACUUCUUUUUCUUUCUUUCAUCCUUUUCCAUUCUUCCUCUCUCUCCCUCUCCUCUUUUCUUUCUUCUUCCUCUCCUUAUUUUAUGUGGGAUUAAGACCUGGAAUCUUUACAAUCGUAUUAAGAUCAAAGAAGCAAAACACUAGGUUUAGUAGGGCAAACCAAAUGUACAACUUUUUAGGCCUAUAUGUGUGUAUCUAUUAGGAAAAGUUCACUUCAUUAAUACCAGUAUGUAUUAAAAAUUGACAAUCAAUUUGAGAAAAGAACAAUAAUUUUUAAAAGGGAAAGUAAGAAGUGUUGCUGUUGUUUUGUCAUCUCCAACUAACAUAAGCAUUUAUGGCAGUAUCAGGGGAAAGUAGAAUGUUAGAGAAUGGUGAAGCAGGGUUGAGAGGUCAGGUCUCUGGGAACCACUCUUUUCUAUGUCAUUUACUGCUAAAAUGACCUUUGUCAAGUCAUUACAUGUCCCUGGGGCUCAGUUUCUGCCUUUUUCAAUGGCUAGAUGUAAUGAGACUACUACUAAAAUAACUUAACUGAAUAUCACUUACAGGGUAUUUUAUCCUCUUCAUUCAUUCCCAUAUAGGAAGCAGAGAUAACAG